rnacentral:rRNA from 1 species
UACGUAGGGGGCGAGCGUUGUCCGGAUUUAUUGGGCGUAAAGAGCGUGUAGGCGGCCAGGUAGGUCUGCUGUGAAAACUCGAGGCUCAACCUCGAGACGUCGGCGGAAACCAUCUGGCUAGAGUCCGGAAGAGGAGAGUGGAAUUCCUGGUGUAGCGGUGAAAUGCGCAGAUAUCGGGAAGAACACCCGUGGCAAAGGCGGCUCUCUGGAACGCAACUGACGCUGAGACGCGAAAGCGUGGGGAGCAAACAGG